CCGCAGCAGCCGCGGUAAUUCCUACGGGAGGCAGCAGUGGGGAAUUUUGGACAAUGGGCGCAAGCCUGAUCCAGUAAUGCCGCGUGAGUGAAGAAGGCCUUCGGGUUGUAAAGCUCUUUCAGUCGAGAAGAAAAAGCUGCAGUGAAUAACUGUAGUUCAUGACGGUAUCGACAGAAGAAGCACCGGCUAACUACGUGCCAGCAGCCGCGGUAAU
rnacentral:rRNA from 1 species